rnacentral:rRNA from 1 species
AACGAACGCUGGCGGCAUGCCUAACACAUGCAAGUCGAACGGGAUCCUGGUUUCGGCCAGGUGAGAGUGGCGGACGGGUGAGUAACGCGUGGGAACCUGCCCAGUGGUGGGGGAUAACUGCGGGAAACUGCAGCUAAUACCGCAUGAGCCCGAAAGGGGAAAGAUUGAUCGCCAUUGGAGGGGCCCGCGUUCGAUUAGGUAGUUGGUGAGGUAACGGCUCACCAAGCCUUCGAUCGAUAGCUGGUCUGAGAGGAUGAUCAGCCACACUGGGACUGAGAUACGGCCCAGAUUCCUACGGGAGGCAGCAGUGGGGAAUAUUGGACAAUGGGGCGAACCCUGAUCCAGCAAUGCCGCGUGAGUGAUGAAGG